CUGGGAGGCACGUGACCAGCCGCAGCCAGGGUCUCUCCAAUCUCGUUCCCUGAGCAUGUCCGUUCGCAGGUUAAGGGUGGGCAUAGCUCUGGAGAAAUCGAAUUGAUUCACGUUGAAUUUCCAACGUGAGUUCUACGCAUGCUCGGCAAUGUUGCAAAAUAUAAAUAAAGUAUUUAGAAUUUCGCGUCGAAAAUUUGAUACAUUUUACACUGAAAUCGAAUUGAAAACAACUAAAAAUUCUGGGGGAAAUAAUGAAUAUGUACGAAAGCUUCGGUUGGAUGGAGAUACAGCUACCUGAAAAAUACAAGGAGAACAUCGACGUUUGAAGCGAAGGCGCUUCGAUUUGUACAGUCUGUUAGUGUUUGUAUACAUCGUACUUGACCUUUUAUAUACUGUCAUACCUAUUAACACUACGUAUACCAUAAAUUCUGACAGGAGAGUUAGUGUAAAUUUUAAAGCAUAAAGAUAUAUAAUACUUAUUAUUGAGGAAAUUAUAUUUAUCAGCAAAGGUCAAGUACGAUGUAUACAAACACUAACAGUCUGUUAGUUCGAGAAAUUCCAAAUAUUUUGCUGCAAAUGCCAAGCAUGCGUAGAACUCACGUUGGAAAUCCAACGUACUAUCUGCCGUUAGCCAAUCACAGGCCUGCAUCAAUUCGAUUCUCCAGAGCUAUGCCCACCCUUAACCUGCGAACGGGCAUGCUCGGGGAACGAGAUUGGGGUCUCUCCCAGGUGACAGAAGGAGAGACCCUGGGAACGAGGUUGUUUUUGCGUUUGAAGCCGCAAAUCUUUCUCUCACGUAUAUACAAUGUUUUAUCUGUUUCGUUGCCUUCAAUUAAAACAAUUGCGGUAAAUGAUAUUUGUUUUUGCGAUGAUACCGAUGUUUUACCGAUGUAUGAAGUAAAUUCCUGCAUCGUUCCUAACUCUCAAAUAAAAACCGCUUUGAGGGACAGAGUCUCUAUAAGUCUCAGACUUAUAGAGCAAGUCUAUGGUCGUCCUUGAAAAAUGAUAUAUAGUUUGAAAGAAACAGUGUGGCAUACGACUAUAUAUAUAUGAAUCAUAUCGAAGUCGU